rnacentral:rRNA from 1 species
GGGAAACUGCCCGAUGGAGGGGGAUAACUACUGGAAACGGUAGCUAAUACCGCAUAACGUCGCAAGACCAAAGUGGGGGACCUUCGGGCCUCACACCAUCGGAUGUGCCCAGAUGGGAUUAGCUAGUAGGUGGGGUAAUGGCUCACCUAGGCGACGAUCCCUAGCUGGUCUGAGAGGAUGACCAGCCACACUGGAACUGAGACACGGUCCAGACUCCUACGGGGGGCAGCAGUGGGGAAUAUUGCACAAUGGGCGCAAGCCUGAUGCAGCCAUGCCGCGUGUAUGAAGAAGGCCUUCGGGUUGUAAAGUACUUUCAGCGGGGAGGAAGGCGGUGAGGUUAAUAACCUCACCGAUUGACGUUACCCGCAGAAGAAGCACCGGCUAACUCCGUGCCAGCAGCCGCGGUAAUACGGAGGGUGCAAGCGUUAAUCGGAAUUACUGGGCGUAAAGCGCACGCAGGCGGUCUGUCAAGUCGGAUGUGAAAUCCCCGGGCUUAACCUGGGAACUGCAUUCGAAACUGGCAGGCUAGAGUCUUGUAGAGGGGGGUAGAAUUCCAGGU